AACGAACGCUGGCGGCAGGCCUAACACAUGCAAGUCGAACGAAGUCUUCGGACUUAGUGGCGCACGGGUGAGUAACACGUGGGAAUAUACCUUUCGCUGGGGGAUAACAUCGGGAAACUGAUGCUAAUACCGCAUACGCCCUUCGGGGGAAAGAUUUAUCGGCGAAAGAUUAGCCCGCGUCCGAUUAGCUAGUUGGUGAGGUAAUGGCUCACCAAGGCUCCGAUCGGUAGCUGGUCUGAGAGGAUGACCAGCCACACUGGGACUGAGACACGGCCCAGACUCCUACGGGAGGCAGCAGUGGGGAAUAUUGGACAAUGGGCGAAAGCCUGAUCCAGCCAUGCCGCGUGAGUGAUGAAGGCCUUAGGGUUGUAAAGCUCUUUCACCCACGACGAUGAUGACGGUAGUGGGAGAAGAAGCCCCGGCUAACUUCGUGCCAGCAGCCGCGGUAAUACGAAGGGGGCUAGCGUUGUUCGGAAUUACUGGGCGUAAAGCGCACGCAGGCGGUUCGGUCAGUCAGAAGUGAAAGCCCCGGGCUUAACCUGGGAACUGCUUUUGAUACUGCCGAGCUUGAAUCACGGAGAGGGUAGUGGAAUUCCGAGUGUAGAGGUGAAAUUCGUAGAUAUUCGGAAGAACACCAGUGGCGAAGGCGACUACCUGGCCGUCGAUUGACGCUCAUGUGCGAAAGCGUGGGGAGCAAGCAGGAUUAGAUACCCUGGUAGUCCACGCCGUAAACGAUGGGUGCUAGUUGUUGGGGUACAUGUACCUCAGUGACGCAGCUAACGCGUUAAGCACCCCGCCUGGGGAGUACGGCCGCAAGGUUA
rnacentral:rRNA from 1 species